rnacentral:rRNA from 1 species
UACGUAGGCAGCGAGCGUUGUUCGGAGUUACUGGGCGUAAAGAGUGCGUAGGCGGUUUUCUCAGUUUGGUGUGAAAUCUCCCGGCUUAACUGGGAGGGUGCGCCGAAAACUGGAAGGCUUGAGUAUGGGAGAGGUAAGCGGAAUUCCUGGUGUAGCGGUGAAAUGCGUAGAUAUCAGGAGGAACACCUGCGGUGUAGACGGCUUACUGGACCAUAACUGACGCUGAGGCACGAAAGCGUGGGUAGCAAACAGG